AUUGUGACACCUUAUGCUGUCAUCACAGCCAUCCCUUGGCCAUGGAGCCUGUCACUAGGAAAGCUCAGUUGGAGAGCAGCCUACAGACGGGUCACUUGGAGCAUAUGCCUAUGGGCACUGAGUGGAGGCAUAAGGGGAUCGAGCAUUGUGAACACUGAACCUGUCCCCAGCACUUGGAAGGACCUGGGUUUCGGUGAUGUGACCUGGGGUAUGACAUAACCAGCUCCCAGAGGAAUGGGCAGGACCUUAUCCACUAUUAUUCAUGGAGUCUUGAAGCAGCCAAUACAGCCUGGAGAUAUCUAAAGGUCAGCUCCCAAAUUAUGACUGCAUAAAGCACCUGCGCUCUGUGGUACUACAAGAGUAGACAUGUGUGGCCCAGCUGGGGAAAAUAUCAGCCCAGCAUAAAUAGCAGCGGGUGGCGCAGAAGCAAGACAUCCAGCAUGCAUGUGUGAAAUCCACAGGUGAACUCCAACCUUCAAUCCUGCAGGAGAAAACAGAAUACAAGGAGAUCCUAGAGUGGGUGGACUUCCUGCAGCCAGCCAAGGUGAACCUCUGAUCACAGCCCAAUUGGAUGAGCCCAAGAGUCUGUCAUUUCCCAUGAACAGGGUGUCAAGCCAGUAAUGCCCUCUCCAAGUGGCCAGGAGGAGAACCAUGACAGUGGAAGAUGAAACCCCUGUUGUGAACAGUCCUGUUUGAAUCUGUGAUACAAGAAUCCAGGAAGAAGAAACUGUUGUUGAUCUGCUGGGGUCUGCUUUAACAUUGGAGGGCCUCUCCCACCAUUAAGAACUACAACACAUUACUGUAGAUCCCACGGGACAGAGAAACUCUCCUGCCUCAGCUGCCUGCAGAAACAGAGAAUUCAGUUGUGUCUCAUACUCCCGUUUUAUAUUUUGGUGUCUAAUAAAUGGGGCAUCUUUUGGUGAGUGAAA